CAGUCUGCAUGGAGCCGACCUUGAAAUACCACCCUUUAAUGUUUGAUGUUCUAACGUGGACCCGUGAUCCGGGUUGCGGACAGUGUCUGGUGGGUAGUUUGACUGGGGCGGUCUCCUCCUAAAGAGUAACGGAGGAGCACGAAGGUUGGCUAAUCCUGGUCGGACAUCAGGAGGUUAGUGCAAUGGCAUAAGCCAGCUUGACUGCGAGCGUGACGGCGCGAGCAGGUGCGAAAGCAGGUCAUAGUGAUCCGGUGGUUCUGAAUGGAAGGGCCAUCGCUCAACGGAUAAAAGGUACUCCGGGGAUAACAGGCUGAUACCGCCCAAGAGUUCAUAUCGACGGCGGUGUUUGGCACCUCGAUGUCGGCUCAUCACAUCCUGGGGCUGAAGUAGGUCCCAAGGGUAUGGCUGUUCGCCAUUUAAAGUGGUACGCGAGCUGGGUUUAGAACGUCGUGAGACAGUUCGGUCCCUAUCUGCCGUGGGCGCUGGAGAACUGAGGGGGGCUGCUCCUAGUACGAGAGGACCGGAGUGGACGCAUCACUGGUGUUCGGGUUGUCAUGCCAAUGGCACUGCCCGGUAGCUAAAUGCGGAAGAGAUAAGUGCUGAAAGCAUCUAAGCACGAAACUUGCCCCGA
rnacentral:rRNA from 4 species